UACGAAGGGGGCUAGCGUUGCUCGGAAUCACUGGGCGUAAAGCGCACGUAGGCGGACUCUUAAGUCGGUGGUGAAAUCCUGGAGCUCAACUCCAGAACUGCCUUUGAUACUGGUGAUCUCGAGUCCGGGAGAGGUGAGUGGAACUGCGAGUGUAGAGGUGAAAUUCGUAGAUAUUCGCAAGAACACCAGUGGCGAAGGCGGCUCACUGGCCCGGUACUGACGCUGAGGUGCGAAAGCGUGGGGAGCAAACAGG
rnacentral:rRNA from 1 species